rnacentral:rRNA from 1 species
GAUGAACGCUGGCGGCGUGCCUAAUACAUGCAAGUCGAGCGGACGGACGAGAAGCUUGCUUCUCUGAUGUUAGCGGCGGGCGGGUGAGUAACACGUGGAUAACCUACCUAUAAGACUGGGAUAACUUCGGGAAACCGUAUCUAAUACCGGAUAAUAUUUUGAGCCGCAUGGUUCAAAAGUGAAAGACGGUCUUGCUGUCACUUAUAGAUGGAUCCGCGCUGCAUUAGCUAGUUGGUAAGGUAACGGCUUACCAAGGCGACGAUGCAUAGCCGACCUGAGAGGGUGAUCAGCCACACUGGAACUGAGACACGGUCCAGACUCCUACGGGAGGCAGCAGUAGGGAAUAUUCGGCAAUGGGCGAAAGCCUGAUGGAGCAACGCCGCGUGAGUGAUGAAGGUCUUCGGAUCGUAAAACUCUUUUAUUAGGGAAGAAGAUAUGUGAAUGAAACCCUGGCUAUCUUGACGGUACCUAAUCAGAAAGCCCCGGCUAACUACGUG